UACGUAGGGUGCAAGCGUUGUCCGGAAUUAUUGGGCGUAAAGAGCUCGUAGGCGGUUUGUUGCGUCGGCUGUGAAAUCCCGAGGCUCAACCUCGGGUCUGCAGUCGAUACGAGCAAACUAGAGUGUUGCAGGGGAGACUGGAAUUCCUGGUGUAGCGGUGAAAUGCGUAGAGAUCAGGAGGAACACCCAUGGCGAAGGCAGCUCUCUGGUCGACAUCUGACGCUGAGACGCGAAAGCGUGGGGAGCGAACGGG
rnacentral:rRNA from 1 species